rnacentral:rRNA from 1 species
UGGGGAAUAUUGGACAAUGGGCGAAAGCCUGAUCCAGCCAUGCCGCGUGUGUGAAGAAGGUCUUCGGAUUGUAAAGCACUUUAAGUUGGGAGGAAGGGUUGUAACUUAAUACGUUGCAACUUUGACGUUACCGACAGAAUAAGCACCGGCUAACUUCGUGCCAGCAGCCGCGGUAAUACGAAGGGUGCAAGCGUUAAUCGGAAUUACUGGGCGUAAAGCGCGCGUAGGUGGUUCAGUAAGUUGGGAGUGAAAUCCCCGGGCUCAACCUGGGAACUGCUUUCAAAACUGCUGAGCUAGAGUAUGGCAGAGGGUGGUGGAAUUUCCUGUGUAGCGGUGAAAUGCGUAGAUAUAGGAAGGAACACCAGUGGCGAAGGCGACCACCUGGGCUACUACUGACACUGAGGUGCGAAAGCGUGGGGAGCAAACA